UGGCAUUGCCAGCCUAACCACUGCUCAAAGCAGGCCGACCGUCCCGCAAGACCAACUGGACGGAGGGUGAGAUACAGCUGCACUUGGCGCCGGACUCAAGGAACUUAUUUGCUUGCAGAACAGAACUCACAGGACACGGGGAACAUGGGUAAAACUCGAGCACAUGGAACCGUGAAGAGAAGCUGAAUAUCUUUUGCAACAACUGAAGCGGGGGGGAAAAAGAGAAGACGCUACACAGGGUGUGUCAGCUGGAAAGUCAUGAAAACUAAUCUGCAUUGCAAUGAGGAAAGCAAAGGGAGGAAGAAAAAAACCUGUAACAAUUUAGAUUGAGUGCAAACUUUGCCAGCAGGGCUCAGGGAAGCCAAAUUUCAUUGCAAGGGGAAAAAAAUUGAAAGUCACUGGCUGCUGAGGCCAGCUGGAGUGAUCGCACCUAGUUUACAGUACCACCUGCUGCUGAACGCAGUAGACUUUAACCCUUUUCAUGCCUGGUAUGACUUAAUACAUAUUUACAGUAUAAAUAUAUGGCGCUUGGAAAAAGAGAACAGGACCUGACAAUUAAAGCCAGUGCAUUAAAAAACAGAGAAGUUAUACUACCGUGUUUCCCCGAUAAUAAGCCUUGCUUUUGGAAACUGGUCCAAAAUAAGCCCUACCCUGAAAAUAAGCCCUAUCAAAAUUCCCAUUACCCGAGUCCAUGCACUAAAUUCAAUGCCCCCAGCUCCACCCCCGCUAACCCCCUUCACCCCCACCCUGCUUGAGGGAUGCUGUACAGUUCUGUAUCAGCCGUUGAAGACUCCAGCUCCCAGUCCCAGGGAUGCAUUGCGCCCUGCGCAUGAUGUCUCCGCGCACAUCACACGGGUUCUGUACACGGCGGGAGCGGAGUAGCAGCGGCGCCGGCGGAAAGCAAGAAGAAGAACUGGAAACUGGAACUGGAAAGUGCUGUAGGUGAGGAGCAGGACUGGGGGCAUGGUGGCUGUAAGGGGGCAUGGUGGCUGUAAAAGGAGGACUGGGGGAUGUAAAAGCAGGACUGGGGGUAUGGUGGCUGUUAAAUAAGCCCUACCCGAAAAUAAGCCCUAUGGUGUUUUUUGUUGAAAAAAAAUAAAUAAGACAGUGUCUUAUUAUCGGGGAAACACGGUAUGUACAUAUAUGCAGAUAGUGAGAAUUUCCCAUUCUCUCGCAUUGUCCAGGAGACUAAACUUUCACAGAGACUCUGCUUUCUCCCCUCUGAAGAAUGACACUAAACGCGCCAACAGGCCUCACUUCCAUUGUGCAAGGAGAAUUCGGGAGUGGCGCCGCUAACCUCACUUGUCCACUGGGCCAAAAAUUAGGCAAGUUUGAAUGAGACCUUGCUUACUGAACAGAAUAUGGCACUGUACGUUGUCCAUAACUAUUGAAUAAAUGGGGCAGAUGUAUUAAGCCUUGAGAAGUGAUAAAGCAGUGAUAAGUGCACGGUGAUAACCCACUAGCCAAUUAUUAUGGUUUGAAAAAUGACAAGAGCUGAUUGGCUGGUGCAUUAUCACCUUCCACUUAUCACUGCUUUAUCACUUCUCCAGGCUUAAUAAAUCUGGCCCAAAAUUAGAUAUUGAGAAUUGCGUUCACCAUCCAGAAAAAGAGAGGUGGUACUGGUUAUUGGGUCUGUCAUAAAAAAGGGGGAAAGGAUACAUUUUCUAGGGUCAAGGCUUAAAAAAGUGGGGACCUCAUCUGGUACAAAAUCAGGUCUACUGGGAACAUGAACAUGAAUGAGGACGGAGGGCUGGAGGUCAGCCAGACGUUUAUUAAACCCUGAGGCUGUCAUACAGUGAGCUCAUAGACAUCAGGGUUGGUUGCCCCCUUUUGAAUGGGUGUGUUUAAGAGAGUGACAGUUUGGCUGGCCAAUAGUUGAUCUUGAUGUCAUGGGGAGGUAUCUAUGGAGUUAUUAAAGCUCCCCCUUUAGGAGUGUGAGGCCUCCUUCCUGAUUGUCCCACACUCCCGUCUGUUUGGUUUUUGUUGUGUUUGGAGCGGCGGUAAAGAACGGCAUUUACUUAUAAAGUUUUUUUGGGUGCUCUAUCCUCAUAAGGCUUUAUACUGCCCGUGCCCAGUUGGGAGUGACUAUACCGUGUGCCCACAUGGGUCCAAUGAGCAAUGUUGGGUGGAGAGCUGAUCACCAGUUAGUAGGUUUGUGGAAUACAUUCGUUUACUUUGUUUCUCUGACUGUUCUUUAUUCAGCCGCCAUAUAUAUUUCAUUGAGUAACAUUCAAAUAAAUACAUAAUUUAUUGUCAAA